UACGUAGGGUGCGAGCGUUGUCCGGAAUUAUUGGGCGUAAAGAGCUCGUAGGCGGUUUGUCGCGUCGACUGUGAAAACCUACAGCUUAACUGUGGGCUUGCGGUCGAUACGGGCAGGCUGGAGUUCGGUAGGGGAGACUGGAAUUCCUGGUGUAGCGGUGAAAUGCGCAGAUAUCAGGAGGAACACCGGUGGCGAAGGCGGGUCUCUGGGCCUGUACUGACGCUGAGGAGCGAAAGCGUGGGGAGCGAACAGG
rnacentral:rRNA from 1 species